GCCCUUAAGUUUGAUCCUGGCUCAGGACGAACGCUGGCGGCGUGCCUAACACAUGCAAGUCGAGCGAAGCAUUUAGAUUAGCUUGCUAAUUUUUAUGACUGAGCGGCGAACGGGUGAGUAACACGUGGGUGAUCUGCCUGAAAGACCGGGAUAACAGUUCGAAAGGACUACUAAUACCGGAUGAAGUUAUUAGUGUAGAGCUAAUAAUCAAAGCGUUACGGAGCGCUUUCAGAUGAGCCCGCGUUCCAUUAGCUAGUUGGUGAGGUAAAGGCUCACCAAGGCGACGAUGGGUAGCCGGUCUGAGAGGAUGGUCGGCCACACUGGAACUGAGACACGGUCCAGACUCCUACGGGAGGCAGCAGUGGGGAAUUUUGCGCAAUGGGGGCAACCUUGACGCAGCGACGCCGCGUGAGCGAAGAAGGCCUUCGGGUUGUAAAGCUCUGUCUGGGGGGAAGAUAGUGACGGUACCCCCGGAGGAAGCCCCGGCUAACUACGUGCCAGCAGCCGCGGUAAGACGUAGGGGGCGAGCGUUGUCCGGAAUUACUGGGCGUAAAGGGCGUGUAGGCGGCCUGCCAAGUCAGCUGUGAAAUUCCUCGGCUUAACCG
rnacentral:rRNA from 1 species